rnacentral:rRNA from 1 species
UACGUAGGGUGCAAGCGUUGUCCGGAAUUACUGGGCGUAAAGCGCACGUAGGCGGUCUUUUAAGUCGGUGGUGAAAUCCUGGAGCUCAACUCCAGAACUGCCUUCGAUACUGGAAGACUUGAGUCCGGGAGAGGUGAGUGGAACUGCGAGUGUAGAGGUGAAAUUCGUAGAUAUUCGCAAGAACACCAGUGGCGAAGGCGGCUCACUGGCCCGGUACUGACGCUGAGGUGCGAAAGCGUGGGGAGCAAACAGG